AGUAAAAGUCAAAAAAGAUUUUUGAAAAAAAGAUGAAAAUAUAGGGAAAUAAUCUUGUUCUUUGAAUGAAGAUAAAUUCUAUUAAUGGUGUUGUGUCAAAUGGAAACAAGUGAAUUUUUACAACAAUAUUUAAAGAAAAUUGUGAAAAACUGAUUCAAUGGAAUAAGCAACUUAGUGAAUAUGAGAAGUGUUUUGAUGGUGCAUUGAAUUACAACAAAAUGCCACCAUCCAAAGAUUAUGAAAAUAAAGAUAUGUGAAAUUUUAUGACAAAUAAGAAAACAAAACAUUGAUCUCUCUUUUUCGAGAAGCUACCACCGCAACAAAUGUAGUCGCUUGUGAACUUAGACUUUGAUGAUAAAGAAUUGCACUGUCGAUGUAGGCUCGUGAGACUUUGCUAUGAAAUUAGAAAUGUACCUGCACGGAAAGAAAAUAAAUGAUAACUUAUAAUAACGAGAAGGUGCAAAUUCGGUGCAACAUCGAACCGGCUUCAGACAUUUUCUGAAAAACACCGGGAAAGGGAUUCACUAUGCUUUUUUAACAGCCACUGUAAAAGUUAACAGAAAAAAUUAAUUUUGAUAUGCUAAAGAAUUAUAUUUUUAAAA